rnacentral:rRNA from 1 species
CCUGAAGGCGCCCGAUCUCGUCUGAUCUCGGAAGCUAAGCAGGGUCGGGCCUGGUUAGGAUCUUGGAUGGGAGACCACCUGGGAAUCCCGGGU